rnacentral:rRNA from 1 species
GUGCCAGCCGCCGCGGUAAUACGGAGGGUGCAAGCGUUAUCCGGAUUCAUUGGGUUUAAAGGGUGCGCAGGCGGAUACUUAAGUCAGUGGUGAAAUCCCGGGGCUCAACCCCGGAACUGCCAUUGAUACUGAAUAUCUGGAAUACGGUUGAAGUGGGCGGAAUGUAGCAUGUAGCGGUGAAAUGCAUAGAGAUGCUACAGAACACCGAUCGCGAAGGCAGCUCACUAAGCCGAUAUUGACGCUCAGGCACGAAAGCGUGGGGAGCGAACAGGAUUAGAUACCCUGGUAGUCCACGCCGUAAACGAUGAUAACUCGUUGUGGCGACACACAGUCAGCGACUAAGCGAAAGCGAUAAGUUAUCCACCUGGGGAGUACGAUCGCAAGGUUGAAACUCAAGGAAUUGACGG